rnacentral:rRNA from 1 species
AACGAACGCUGGCGGCAGGCUUAACACAUGCAAGUCGAACGCACCUUUCGGGGUGAGUGGCAGACGGGUGAGUAACGCGUGGGAAUCUACCCUUCUCUACGGGAUAGCUCCGGGAAACUGGAAUUAAUACCGUAUACGUCCUGAGGGAGAAAGAUUUAUCGGGGAAGGAUGAGCCCGCGUUGGAUUAGCGAGUUGGUGGGGUAAAGGCCUGCCAAGGCGACGAUCCAUAGCUGGUCUAAGAGGAUGAUCAGCCACAUUGGGACUGAGACACGGCCCAAACUCCUACGGGAGGCAGCAGUGGGGAAUAUUGGACAAUGGGCGCAAGCCUGGUCCAGCCAUGCCGCGUGAGUGAUGAAGGCCCUAGGAUUGUAAAGCACUUUCAGUGGGGACGAUAAUGACGGUACCCGCAGAAGAAGCCCCGGCUAACUUCGUGCCAGCCGCCGCCGUAA